rnacentral:rRNA from 1 species
ACUCCUACGGGAGGCAGCAGUGGGGAAUCUUGCGCAAUGGCCGAAAGGCUGACGCAGCGACGCCGCGUGUGGGAUGAAGCAUUUCGGUGUGUAAACCACUGUUGCCCGGGACGAACAUCCUCUUUCGAGAGGACUGACGGUACCGGGUGCGGAAGCACCGGCUAACUCCGUGCCAGCAGCCGCGGUAAU